rnacentral:rRNA from 1 species
GACGAACGCUGGCGGCGUGCUUAACACAUGCAAGUCGAACGGAAAGGCCCUGCUUUUGUGGGGUGCUCGAGUGGCGAACGGGUGAGUAACACGUGAGUAACCUGCCCUUGACUUUGGGAUAACUUCAGGAAACUGGGGCUAAUACCGGAUAGGAGCUCCUGCUGCAUGGUGGGGGUUGGAAAGUUUCGGUGGUUGGGGAUGGAUUCGCGGCUUAUCAGCUUGUUGGUGGGGUAGUGGCUUACCAAGGCUUUGACGGGUAGCCGGCCUGAGAGGGUGAACGGCCACAUUGGGACUGAGAUACGGCCCAGACUCCUACGGGAGGCAGCAGUGGGGAAUAUUGCACAAUGGGCGGAAGCCUGAUGCAGCAACGCCGCGUGCGGGAUGACGGCCUUCGGGUUGUAAACCGCUUUCGCCUGUGACGAAGCGUGAGUGACGGUAAUGGGUAAAGAAGCACCGGCUAACUACGUG